rnacentral:misc_RNA from 1 species
GUGAAUCAUCAAAUCUUUGAACGCAAAUUGCGCCUUUUUCGGAAGCCAUGUCUGUUUGAGGGCACCAUUUAACAAAUAAUGUGCAUUUCGUGUGCACACGUUGAUGAGCUUUCCAAAAUGAUGUAUUAUUUUUGGUGGUGCAUAAUAAACAGCGCGAUGCUUUUUUUCAUUUUGAGUGUAGUAAAAUUUUUUCUUACGUGGGUUGUGAAUAACCGUGAUCGGGCAAUGGCUGUGGCA